CAAUAAAGAAAGCAUGGUAAUGUGCACAUAAAUUGAUUUGGGUCUCUGGGUCUGUCCUUUCUGAUGUCAUUUGGCUUUGAUUUGGGGGUAUGGUUCUACAACAAAACG